CAGCCGCCGCGGUAAUACGUAGGGGGCGAGCGUUACCCGGAUUCACUGGGCGUAAAGGGGGUGUAGGCGGCUCGGUAAGUCGGGUGUGAAAUCCCACGGCUCAACCGUGGAAUUGCGCCCGAAACUGCCGAGCUUGGGGCCGGUAGAGGGAGACGGGACUGCCGGUGUAGGGGUGAAAUCCGUAGAUAUCGGCAGGAACGCCGGUGGGGAAGCCGGUCUCCUGGGCCGCGCCCGACGCUGAGGCCCGAAAGCUAGGGGAGCAAACCGGAUUAGAUACCCGGGUAGUCCUAGCCGUAAACGAUGCCCACUAGGUGUGGGGGAGUAUUUCCUCCGUGCUGUAGCUAACGCGUUAAGUGGGCCGCCUGGGGAGUACGCCCGCAAGGGUGAAACUUAAAGGAAUUGGCGGG
rnacentral:rRNA from 1 species